AUGACCGACGGCUGCUUCGGGGAUUGGGGUUGUCGGCUUUAUCAUUGGUAUGACACUCUUUACUGACGGGCACUAUAGUUAAGAAUCCUUUUCUUAUUCCAAAAAUACCGUUAUCAUUUAUGGUGGCGUACUCCUCGGUGGUUGAUGGGUUUUUGUGCAUUGUGGUAGUUUUGGUUUAUGCAUUUAACAGUGGUGAGUUUUGCCUCGAUUUCGAUUGUGUUUGUCACAUUUGUGUGCUCUAGAUUUUGCUAUUGGUAUUGUGAUUCUUGUUUGAUUUCAUUUUCUCUUUCAAUUUCAUUUGUAAUUCUGCUGGGCAUAUGUGGGUAUUGUGCUUCUUGUUACCGUUCUGACCAUGCACAGUGUGUGGGCUCCACCACUUUAUAAAAAAAUUGAGUUUAAUUAGUGAGAUAUGCACCUGAGAACAAAACCAAACACAAAUCUAUUCGAGUUAUAGAAAAAGUAGAGAUAAAAAAAAAUGAGAUAUGAGAAUAGAGUUUGAAUGAUAAGAAAUGAGAAAUGGAAACUGAGUUUUGAAUUAUGUUCAAGCUAAACAGGCCCUAAUUGUACAUAUUUACCUAUAACAGUGAAAUUCAUAUAUUCCUUCUUUUGUUUUUUUAAUCAAAAUUCAUAUAUUUUCUAGCAUUUUAGAAUUAGUGCUUCAUGAAUGAAACAAUUAAACAUGAAGUGAUAAAGAGAACUUAAUAGAUCUUGACAUCACAUUUAUUAUUAUUAUUAGUUUUUUAUAAGUUGACAUCACAUUUAUGAUUUGCUUGGCACUCAUUUUCACUAGAAAUAAAAACUAUCAAUAUCUACCUACAAUGAAAAAAAAAAAAAAACAUUUCACGAGAUAUUUAAAUUACUAUUUCAUAAAAUAGUUAAACAUAAAGAGCACUUAAUAGAUGAAAACAAAAAUGAAAACACAAGAAUUAAAAUUUUAAAACUCAAAAUAAUUUUUUUGAAAAUUAUAAAAAUAUUCACAUCAGUAUAACUAUUUUAAUAGUUUAAAAAAAAAAAAAACUUGUCUCAAUCUUUUAACAACGAUUUUAGCCAGACCUGGCAAUUCUUUUCACUCGCUACAUGAUUAAAAAAAAUCAAAUUGACGUUUUUAGGCAAAAUUUGCCAAACAGUAUAUUUUCCAAAAAUAUUUAGGCCUAUGGCAUGCGUUCAAAGUUCAAAGUUAUUUAGUAAGUUGAACUGUUUUUGAAAGUUGAGUUUGGUAAACUCAAUUUUAGGUUGGAAAACGAACACAAUAGUGGCGUUUGUAAAAUUGCCACUAUAGAUACCCUAUAGUGCUGUUUUCAACUUUGGAUUGAAAAACGAACAUUAUAAUAACCUUUUUUUAGUGGUAAAUGCUACAAUAAUGUUCGUUUUCCAGCUCAAAAUCAAUUUUACCAAACUCGACUUUUAAAAAUAGUUUAAUUUCCUAAAUGCCCCGCACCUAAUUUAUUUUUAGAAAUGUACUGUUUGACAAAAUUUGCCGACGUUUUUAUAUUUCUCUACUUUCUUUCUCUCUUCACUCACUCUCCGCCUCUCUCUCUCGGCUCACUUUAGUCUCGCAAGAGGAGUGGUUGAUCUUCUUAGUGCAGAGAAGAGCAUCAACCACGGCAGGUAUGAUGCCUCUCUCUUCCCUAAUUUUAUUGAUUUUAGCAAGGAGGAGAUGUUCUUCGACUUGUGACUUUGUUUGAUCCCUGGAUGUGUUUGGGUUUUGAUAAUCAGGUAAUACUGGGUUGGUGAUGUGAACUGGGUUCAAUUUGGAUUUUAUGAUGAUGCUUGUCAAUUGUUGAAUGUAAAACUAGUUAUUGUAAUUUUGAAUGAGAUGAUUAUUAUAGCCUUACAGGGGCCUUUUUUUAUGUUUUCCUAGUUAUUGUAAUUUUGAAUGAGAUGAACGUAUAUGUAACUUUUGUUGAACUAUCUUAUGUAGCAACCACAUAUCGGGAUAAGGAGUGGAAUCUGUUUGUUAUAAUAUUUAGUGUCAUAGUCAUAGAUUUGAUGUUUCUUGGAGGUGGAUUUUCAGUUUAAUGCGAGAUAAGAUUUGAGUUUUCCUGAGAGAAUAGAUCUUGGUGCUUUAUUUGGAGGCAGGGAACUGAAUCUACUGCCUUGGUAUGUAGAACCAUUGUGAGUCUGAUUGACAGGAUCUAAAAGUAGGUGAGUUUGGCUUAUUUGGAGGCGGCAUGGAAUUUAGGAGUUGAAGACAGAAACACAAGUGUUAGAUCAUCAUUUGUCAUUCACAUUCUAUCAUCUGAUUUAAGCUAAGCUACACUCCCAGAAAUUUGAAUUUAAUCCUUAGAAAUUAGCCCACCUUGUCUAUCAUGGUUGUAGUAAUUAAGCCUUUCUCAACUCUUUUAUCUGGUUGCUGAAGGUUACAAUAGAAAGCAUCUAAAGAGUAAAACAUAAAGGCUUUAUUAUCUAUAUUUAACAUGGGUAUUGACUAUCAUACGCAUAUCUUGUUUCAUCUUAAUGACUAAGUAUUAUUUGAUUUAUUUCUUAAUUCUUAUAGCCUGUACAAAAACAAAAUAGACAAAAACCUCAAAGACCAUACUCAAGUGAAUUCUCAGCCCACUGGAUUUCUCUAUUUUGCCGCAAGCUGCAAUUUAGCAGCUCGAUGCUUCAAUAAUCGCUGAGAAGUCGUACUUACCAAGGCCAGAAGGUUUUGCAACAUUAUAUAGUUCUUUAGCAGUUGCUGCAGUUGAAAUAGGUUUGGAAACAAAUUUGUGCAGUAUGAUGCAAGUUUACAAUCAAAUAUGGAAUAGUAAGGGGUCAAAUUGGGACACAAAAGACAAAAUUGAACAAUUUUUGGGAAUCACAGUCAAGAUGAACACAUUACUUUGUUUUUAGUCUAUAUGGGGACUCAUUUAAGGGUUUAGAUUCUCUCCCUACUAGAAGAGCACUAAAUCUGAAUAGGGUUUAUAAAACAGAAAUUUCAUUUUUGAGGGGGUUUAGCAUAGGCAUGAGUAGUGGGUGAGCCGUAGUGGGUGAGCCUUUUCUUUGUAUAACAAAUUUGCUUCCUGAUAUCAGUGCUUUAGUUUAAGUAAAAGACAUUACUUGGCAGUCUCCAAGAUGAAACCAACAUUAAAUUUUAAGACAAGAAUUGUAAUUUUUUUCCACGUCAGCAUUUGACAUAUUCCUCUGUAUAACUAUAAUAUAAUAUAACCCUACUAUUUCAGAGAAUCCAUAAAAUCAAAAACCCAACUGGAAAACCCACUGUGUCUGCUCCAACUUGCCAAGCAGAGAAGCCACCGGAGUCUGGAAAAUCACGCCGGAGCCACUGUUUUUGGGGUGGCCGCGACCAAGAGGUUUGAAAAUUUUGUUUUCUUGUUUUGUUUCUUUUUCCCAUUUUGUGAUUAUGAAAUAUAUGACAGUGUUUGGAAAAAAGAAAGAAAGUUGAGAGCUUUAACUGUUCCCAGUGAGAGAACUAUUGCAAAUAAUUGUUUCUAGGAGAAGCUGAGGUUUAUAUGUUUUUUUUUUAAUAAUUUUUUUCCAGCUUAUUCAGCUUAUAUGUACAAGUUUUAAAAGCUUUACUAUAUUUUUUUAUCCAAAUGAAUCAAUGAUAAGUUAUCCCAAAAGGGCAAAUAGUGAUCAAUGAUAAGUUAAUUAAAAGGGUGACAGUGAUAAUGAAGUAGGAUAGAAUUGUAGAGAAGAAGAUUUUUCCAAUUCUCAUUAUUCUGUUGAGGAUCCAUAGUUGUUGACCCGAUAAUUUUGGUACUUAGACUUUGUUGUUGUUGUUAAAGGGGUUUAGUGAUAAAGGAUUGGAGGUGUAUGUGCAUACUCAGACGGGGGAGUUGGUUGGAUUGUUUAUUAUGAUGUGUUAUUGGUAGUGUGGAAUUGGAAUCUUAUGGUUUUGCUUGUUUAAGGUUAAAUGGGUGAUGCCAAGAGCAGCAUGGUUGACUUAUUGGCGUGUUGGAAGGGAUAAUUUGGUAAAACAAGAUGGUAUCAAAGUGAGGAAGAUGAAUUCUUUAUGUUUAAUGUGGUGCAACAGGAGAUAAAGGAAUGGUUGUACUUCUAAGGGAAGAGAGUUAUUUAUAAAAAAAAAAAAAAAAAAAAAAAAAUCAAAGCCUUUUUGUUCCUGGUCUAUUUGGAAUUUUUAGAUUUCUAAGGGAAGAGAGUUAUUUAAAAAAAAAAAAAAAAAAAAAAAAAAAUCAAAGCCUUUUUGUUCCUGGUCUAUUUGGAAUUUUUAGAUUAUUUGCGUUUUAGAUGUUAAUCUUGUGUGGUCUACUUUUAGUAUACAUCCCAUGUGUUGGGUUGCUUCAAUUUUUGUGCCUUAAUGAAAUUCAUUAUGAAUUAUAUAUAAAAAAAAUGGUUUCCUCACAAAAGAAAAACCACCAAGGUAGCAAAGGAAGGUCUGGCUCUUAUUUAUUUCAAGUCUCUGACUUUCCGCAUUUGAAUGCUAAAUAUUCAGUUUCUUUUUGUGUUUUCUAUAUUGGCUUUGACUUCUGUGCAUCUUGUAUGGAAUGCAAGAAAUUGUGUUUGGUUUGUAUCUGGGCACUUAAACUGUUCAUUAUAUUCUCCUUAACCAUUUUUAGUUGGUGUUUAAAACCUUAUGGUGUUUUAGGUACAAUGAGUUUACCUUAGUCUCAUUUAUUUCGAAACUUAGUGUCGUCAAAUUUAUCUCAUUUUGACUGGAAUUUAGAUAUCAAAUUUCUUCCAUUCUUUAUGUAUUUUUGCCAAUCUUCAUACCAUGUCAUCUAUAUAGAAACUACUCAUUGAAGAGGUUUACGUUAUUGAGGGAGAGAGAAUUUACUGAGCAAAAAAGAAGCAAGAGAAAAUCUAUUGAAUCUUCAAGCUAAUGAAACAAUUGCAAUAUAAACCUGAGACUCUCUCUCUCUACACACACACACACACACACACACACACACACACACUAGACUAUAACAGACUAUGUGUGCUAUAUACAAUUCUAACUACAUAAUAAAUCUGACUAUAACAGACUAACAUCCUCUAACAGAUUCUACAACAUACUAUAACAAAUUUAAGAUCUUCCACAUGCUGAAUACAGAAACUCCACAUACUGAAAUCCCAGACUGAGACUUACUGAAGCCCCAUCUCUUCUAAUUGAUAGUUGUUGGUGCAGAAUCUUGGUGCUGUGGACUUUCCAUUAUGGAGAUUAAGACAGAUGUAAAAGAAAGCUCUCUCAUUCUGCUGAAGCAAGGAGCUGAAGCUGUGAGUGCAGUUACAAUUUGAAUUUUGGUUGGUUUUACAUACGUACAUCCUGUGCAGCAGGAGACAAAUGUUUUGUUUUAUUUUAUUUAUUUUUAUUUUGGCUGGAAGAAUAUGGGUCCACCAUAUCCCCCCCCCACUCCCCCCCUGCGGGAAGUUCCAUGCAUUCUCCCAUGCUCAAUAAAGAAUAAAGCUCACUCGCAAGUCAUAAUUAUCUUGCUUGGUUUUAUCCAUUUUUAUGUGAGCCACUAGAAGUGAACUUUGAGCUGCACAGUUUAUAAUUUUUGUGCUGAUCUUGAUAUUCCUUUUCAGAGAGUUUUUGAGUCAAAUUUUGUGGGAAAGAGGUCUGUAAUUAAGGAACGUUUCUCCAAGAAGUAUAGGCAUCCUACUUUGGAUUCUAAAAUAACUCUUAAGCGCUUAAAUGCGGUAAGUUUUUUUUUUUUGCUGCAAAAAUGGCUUCCACCCUUAAUUUUAUUAAUUGAUGAAUCGUUUUGUUGCUUCUUGUCUGAUGUCUUGUGCAAAUUAAUUGUUGAAACAGGAAGCCAGGUGCAUGACGAAAGCAAGAAGACUUGGAGUUUCUACUCCAGUGUUGUACUCUGUGGACCCUGUGCUGCACACACUAACAUUUGAGUACGUAGAUGGCCCUUCUGUCAAAGACAUACUCCUUGAAUUUGGGUCACAUGGUAUAAUUGAAGAACAACUGGAUGAUAUUGCUUUACAAAUUGGUGAUGCAAUUGGAAAAUUGCAUGAUGGUGGUCUCAUCCAUGGUGACUUGACCACUUCAAACAUGCUACUCAAGAGUGGUACUAACCAGCUGGUGGGUUUUAUUUUUUAUUUUUUAUUUUUUAUUUUUUUUUCUUUUGAUGUGUGGGGGUGGAGAUUUCCCUUUGUCUUUAUCUUAAUUUCCAUGAGUAAAAGUUUUUCUAAAUCUGCAUUACAAGCCAUUAAUAUAUCUUUGUAGGUCCUUAUUGACUUUGGUUUGAGCUUUACUUCAACCCUUCCAGAAGAUAAAGCUGUUGAUUUAUAUGUGCUUGAACGAGCACUGCUCUCCAUGCAUUCUUCAUGUGGGAAUGUGGUAAGCAAAGUGAUUUUCCUUCUCUUAUUUUAGUUUUUAUUGGGCUUUUAUUUAUAGAGAGAAAAUGAGAAAAGAAUUGAAACUCAGAUUCUUAUAAGUGGUUUGGGUGGGAAGCUUGGUGCAAGAUUUAAUGUUACUAUUUAGAAAGCCAAAUUGGACUAGGUGGUUUGAUUUGUUUGACUGUGAGCCAAAUGCAAGUUGGUUGGGUAAAUAACCAGACUAUCCAUAAACUUGGUGAUACCCAUUCAGGCCAGUUGGACCAUCUGACCUGCAAAACCAUCUGCAGGUUGAGGAACUUUAGGAUUGGAGGUUUUUUUUUUGGAUGGGGGUGUGGGUGUUUAAAGGAGGCUCAGUGUGAUCAAGUGUGCCUUGAUCACUUCCUUGUAGGCCACUGAGAGCAAUUUCCACUCCAUUGUCGUUGAGGCCUCCAUGAAUUCCACCAUCCUUCUACAGCCUUGCCUUGUACAAGUUCUCUUUGCAAGCUGAAGGUGUGUCAUUAGCAUUGUUGAUUCAAUAGCAAGAGAGAGAGAGAGAUUAGAUACCUACAUCUGGAAUGGAUUUUUUUUUUUUUUAAUUUUUUAAUUUUUUUGGGGUGGGGGGUGGGGGGGUGAGGGCAUUUCAUUUCAUUACUGAAUGAGUAAAGCUCAUAUUUUUCGAAAAGCAAAUCAUAUUUUGCAUUGAUUUUUUUAUUUGUGUAUAAUGUUGUGUAUCAUACGGGAUAUGAACUCUCUAUUAUUUUAUUAUUAUUAUCUUUUCAAGAGUAUAUAAAUAUACAUAUAAAAAGGUAUUUUUUGUUACAGUAUAUUAAAAAUAUAAUUAUCACAUCUACAUUCAAAUUGGUCACACUCAGAAAGUGAUAAUACAUGAUUAUAAUGUAAAAUAAAUCCUUUUUAUUCAUGUUCAUCAUCAUGCCUACUCUUCAGCUUCAAUCUGAGUCACAGUUUUUGUCAUAUUCAUUAGUUCAAAUGUUCUUAUGCAUCUUCUUCAUCAUCAUCAACAUUUACUUAUUAUUCCUAAUCAGUAAUCAUCUUCAAAAAAAAAGGUUGAGAGGAAUACAAUCUGUCAAAAAGGAUGGAAAAAAAGAAGACAAAAGAGAAAAGACCAUUUAAAAAAAAGCUGAACAUGUGAUGUUGUUGUUGUAGUUGUAGUUUGCAUGUUUUAACCCUAUUCUUUUUAGAAAACUAAUUAAAAAUUAUAUGUUUUUAGUUUUGGGGCUGAAAAUUAUCUCGUCUAGUCUCAUGAAUAUGCAUGGGUCCAAAAUAAAUUUAUGUAAUUUAUAAAUUAGACAUUAUGCACUAUUCAUGGAUACAAUAAUACGAUAUGAUUCAUGCGUUACACAUACAUGUAUAGUUUGGUACAUAAGGAUCCCUGGCAUACGCAUUGAUGCGGGAGACACAAGAAGAUUUUUAUUUAGUAUUAUUUAUAUUUGUAAGUCAAAUGUAUUUUUCUUUUUUAUGUUUUAGUUCCUAGUAGUUUAUUAGGCUAUUAGCAUUUUAAUUUAGAAGCAAGGUUAUUUUUGUAAUAAGGCAAUUAGGGUUUCCUAGCCAAUUAAAACUAGGGUUUAGCAAUUCUUUAUAAGCAAUCUAUUGUACUCCUUGGGAGGAUAGUUAAUAUUUUGAUGAAUGAAAAAAUGGCCGUUUGGUCUCUCUUGGUCUAGUGCUGUCUCCAGGUCUAUAAAAAAAAGGUUGAGAGGAAUACAAUCUGUCAAAAAGGAUGGAAAAAAAGAAGACAAAAGAGAAAAGACCAUUUAAAAAAAAGCUGAACAUGUGAUGUUGUUGUUGUAGUUGUAGUUUGCAUGUUUUAACCCUAUUCUUUUUAGAAAACUAAUUAAAAAUUAUAUGUUUUUAGUUUUGGGGCUGAAAAUUAUCUCGUCUAGUCUCAUGAAUAUGCAUGGGUCCAAAAUAAAUUUAUGUAAUUUAUAAAUUAGACAUUAUGCACUAUUCAUGGAUACAAUAAUACGAUAUGAUUCAUGCGUUACACAUACAUGUAUAGUUUGGUACAUAAGGAUCCCUGGCAUACGCAUUGAUGCGGGAGACGCAAGAAGAUUUUUAUUUAGUAUUAUUUAUAUUUGUAAGUCAAAUGUAUUUUUCUUUUUUAUGUUUUAGUUCCUAGUUGUUUAUUAGGCUAUUAGCAUUUUAAUUUAGAAGCAAGGUUAUUUUUGUAAUAAGGCAAUUAGGGUUUCCUAGCCAAUUAAAAUUAGGGUUUAGCAAUUCUUUAUAAGCAAUCUAUUGUACUCCUUGAGGGGAUAGUUGAUAUUUUGAUGAAUGAAAAAUGGCCAUUUGGUCUCUCUUGGUCUAGUGCUGUCUCCAGGUCUACCCUACAACCUCUUAGUGGUUUCCUCGCUUGGUGCUGACUCCAAGCCAGGCUUAGGUGCUGACUCCUAGGUCAUAUUCGUUUAUUUUUCCUGUUAUUUAGUUUUGUUCUGGUUGUCCUGCGUCAGUUUUGGUAUCAGAGCAAACACUGAUCUGUUUGAAGCAUCAUCGCAAGUCAAUCUAGAACUAGACCAAAAAAAAAAAAAAAAUGACAUUCACCUAUUUUUCCACCACUAGAAAUCCAGCCACCGUACCACCUUCAAAAUACCUUUGCCACAUCUCUGCCAAACCAACAUUAGAAAACCAUCUGUUAAUACCCACGGGGCCACACGUAUCAAGCCACCAAAAGGUUACCCAUCAACCCAAGCCUUUUGAUCCAACAACCAACAUACCCCAUAGCCAAACCUGGUCAAGUUCUUUCAAAAGGUUCUUCACACGCCACCACCCAUUGGAAAGCCAACACUGCCGUCCCAAUAAAUGAUUGAAGCGCCAACCAAUUCCCCGGCCGCUUUGAGUUCCUCCUUUGUCUCAGUGCAACACCGCUCCACCUUGUCGUCUUAGAGUACCACGUCGCCAACCCACUCCACCAGAACAGUAUCGCAAGAAUUCGUUAAUGUCGAUCUCACCCUGUCGUCCCAAAGCCGCUGCCCACAGCCAUCACAAGACCACCCCUGUUGCAACAAAUAGAUAGUCCAUUGAGCCUAUAUCAGAGGUAACCCGAUAAUCCCAUUUGAGUUCUUUCUUCCUAGCGGCACUAGCGUCCUGUUUCACUCUCAAUACACACUUGUUUCAGCCCAUAAAAGACAUACCAACCCAACUUGCCAAUUAAAAAUUAAAAAAAAUAAAAAUAAAAACCAUUAAACCCAGAAGCGAACCUGUGCACUUCAACUUUGAGCAUAAAAUUUAGUUUCAAUCUCUGUGUUUCACUAUUUUGUGCAUUAUAGCUAAAAAUGACUUACUUUGAUAGAAAGCUUGAGAAGCAGCUUAAAGAUAGAGAAAUUGAGAAGCAAGUUAAGGAGGCUGGGAAUAGACUCCUUAACCUUCCUUCCUCCACUGAUGAUCUUCUCACUCUUCCUGAUAAAGUUGAAAACUUUUUAGCAUAUGUGGAGCAAGAACCAUCCAAAUCAAUGUGAGAUGCACUUUUACCCUCAAUGAAGGCAUUGAGCACUAAUAAACUUUUGAGACAUGCUGAAAUGGAUGUGAAAGUUUCAGUUGUAUCUUGCAUUAUUGAGAUUACCAGGAUAGCAGAACUCGAUGCCCCAUAUAAAGAUGAGCAAAUGAAAGAAAUAUUUCAGUUGAUUGGGGCAGCAUUUGAAAAUAUGCCUCAUGUGUCUACUCACUCUUAUAAUAAGGUGGUUUCAAUUAUUGAUACCAUUGCAAAGGUCAAGUUAUGCUUGGUGAUGCUGGAUCUUGAGUGUGAUGCAUUGGUUGUUGAGAUGUUUCAAAAUUUCUUAAAGAUAAUUAGAUCCAACUAUCCACCUGCUGUACUUUCAGCCAUGGAAACAAUUAUGAAUCUGGUCAUAGAUGAAAGUGAAGACAUUUCCUUGGAUCUUCUCAUGUCCCAAUAAAUGAUUGAAGCGCCAACCAAUUCCCCGGCCGCUUUGAGUUCCUCCUUUGUCUCAGUGCAACACCGCUCCACCUUGUCGUCUUAGAGUACCACGUUGCCAACCCACUCCACCAGAACAGUAUCGCAAGAAUUCGUUAAUGUCGAUCUCACCCUGUCGUCCCAAAGCCACUGCCCACAGCCAUCACAAGACCACCCCUGUUGCAACAAAUAGAUAGUCCAUUGAGCCAUAUCAGAGGUAACCCGAUAAUCCCAUUUGAGUUCUUUCUUCCUAGCGGCACUAGCGUCCUGUUUCACUCUCAAUACACACUUGUUUCAGCCCAUAAAAGACAUACCAACCCAACUUGCCAAUUAAAAAUUAAAAAAAAUAAAAAUAAAAACCAUUAAACCCAGAAGCGAACCUGUGCACUUCAACUUUGAGCAUAAAAUUUAGUUUCAAUCUCUGUGUUUCACUAUUUUGUGCAUUAUAGCUAAAAAUGACUUACUUUGAUAGAAAGCUUGAGAAGCAGCUUAAAGAUAGAGAAAUUGAGAAGCAAGUUAAGGAGGCUGGGAAUAGACUCCUUAACCUUCCUUCCUCCACUGAUGAUCUUCUCACUCUUCCUGAUAAAGUUGAAAACUUUUUAGCAUAUGUGGAGCAAGAACCAUCCAAAUCAAUGUGAGAUGCACUUUUACCCUCAAUGAAGGCAUUGAGCACUAAUAAACUUUUGAGACAUGCUGAAAUGGAUGUGAAAGUUUCAGUUGUAUCUUGCAUUAUUGAGAUUACCAGGAUAACAGAACUCGAUGCCCCAUAUAAAGAUGAGCAAAUGAAAGAAAUAUUUCAGUUGAUUGGGGCAGCAUUUGAAAAUAUGCCUCAUGUGUCUACUCACUCUUAUAAUAAGGUGGUUUCAAUUAUUGAUACCAUUGCAAAGGUCAAGUUAUGCUUGGUGAUGCUGGAUCUUGAGUGUGAUGCAUUGGUUGUUGAGAUGUUUCAAAAUUUCUUAAAGAUAAUUAGAUCCAACUAUCCACCUGCUGUACUUUCAGCCAUGGAAACAAUUAUGAAUCUGGUCAUAGAUGAAAGUGAAGACAUUUCCUUGGAUCUUCUCAGUUGACUUUUUGCUAGUGUAAGAAAGGAAAAUCAGAAUGUUUCACCUAUGUCGUGGAAAUUGGGGGGAGCAAAUAAUCACUAGGAUUAAUGCCCAGCUAGAAAAGAUAAUGGCACCCACUCAAAAACAGUGCAACAAGCUUGAGAGUGCCCAUGAUGUGAAAAUUGAAGUUGUUGAAUGUGCUUCUGAUCAACCCUCCAUGAUGCUUGAAGAUCUACAUCUUGGUGAAGUCGAAGAGGUUAAAACCACACUGUUUCCUAUGGUUCAUUAGGUUCAAGACAAGAUUAUAUUGAUUCUACACAUUGAUUUGGUUAUUCCAAAUGAGUUUGAUGUGGUAGAAUUCAAGGUUUUUCUUUUCCCUGUGCUCCCUAAGGUGAUUCCAGACUUGAAGCAGGUGUUACUUGUCAGCAUUCUAAUUCUUCAAUGCUUUAAAACUCGAGGUCAAGUUUUCUCCAACUAGAGGAGAAUGAUUCAGAAGACACAAGAAGAUUUUUAUUUAGUAUUAUUUAUGUUUGUAAGUCAAAUGUAUUUUUUAUGUUUUAGGUCCUAGUAGUUUAUUAGGCUAUUAGUAUUUUAAUUUGGAAAUAAGGUUAUUUUUGUAAUAAGGCUAUUAGGGUUUCCUAACCAUUUAAAACUAGGGUUUAGCAAUCCUUUAUAAGCAAUCUAUUAUACUCCUUGAGGGGAUAGUUAAUAUUUUGAUGAAUGAAAAAAUGGCCAUUUGGUUUCUCUUAGUCUGGUACUGACUACAGGUCUACCCAAAGUGUUGACUCUUAGUGGUUUCCUCGCUUGGUAUAGACUCCAAGCUAGGCCUAGGUGUUGACUUCUAGGUUAUAUCCAUUUAUUUUUCUUGUUGUUUAGUUUUGUUCUGGUUGUCCUGCAUCACACAUACCAUGUUAUCCUUUAUUUAUGGAUUGAUAUGUAUCAUAUGAUGCUAACAACAAUGGUUAAGCUAAUUAGGCAAGGGAUGACUUAUUUGAGCUCUAUCUGGGGGUAGUUGGAAUCAAUAAUUACGUUGUGAGGAGGUGGAUUCGUGGAUGGAAUGUGGGUUGUUGGAUCUAAAAGGUGGUGAGGAUUGAAUUGUUGAUUGAUUGAAUGAGCUGAGUUAAUUAGGGGAGGGGUGGCUGUUUUUGGGGGUGGUUGGGGGCAAUAAUUGGGUAGCAAGGAGAUGGAUUUCAAGGAUGGAAUGUAGGCUGUUGAUUGGGAGUUCAGUGGUUCAUUGAGGGAAAAAGAGAGGGAGUGGGUGUUCUGUCUGUCUAGCAGUUAAAAUGCAGCUGGCAGAUAUGGGUGUUUUUAUUUGUUUGUUUUUGUUUAAAUUUUUUUCAUGACUCACAGGCAAUGUCACAAUCUGCACACAUGACAAAGGAUUCCCUAUAUGGGAUUAUAUGUUCCAUAUCACUGCAAUUGUUUUUUACUAUAUUCGUUGUACUUAAUGAGAUAUAGUACAAAUUUGCUCAAAUUCAUGCAUGGCCAAGACAGUAUCUAUCUAAUCUCCAUAAUAAAUUGUGAAAAAUAAUAUCUUGUCUUUAAUCAAGGUAUACUUCAAAACUUUUUAAGUGAAAAUAUGCUUGAAAAACUGUUUAAAUCCUUAAAAUUCUUUAAAUAUGUUUUUAGGUACUGCCAUAAUUUUUUACAAAUUUAUUAUUUUUUAAUUAAUUACUAAAUUUUAUUUGAUAUCAUAAUGGUCCGAAUUCCAAUUAUACCCCAGAAGCCUGAAACCUCUCUAUUUUUUGUAUCUUUAUAUGGUCUGGUUUUUAAACAUUGUUUAAUAUUACUUUUCCUUUUUGACACACACACGUAUAUUUUAAAUACCUUGCUUUGUCAUUUUUAGAGCAGUUCAAACAAAAUUGCAUGUUUAAUUACAUUUUGAGGAUGCUGUUUUUAAAGAUGAUGAGAAGUUGCAAUAUUCUUGAGAAUGAAAACAGUGAACUUCUACGACCAUUAGAUUUUCUGCACUCUAAUCUUUUUUCUUUCUAUAUUUUUGCUUAUUUUGCAUACUAUCAUUUCUUAGGGACAAGAUUUAGAUUGAAAGCAGUGGAAAUUACUUAAUGUUAUUUCUUAUUACCAGGAAAUGGAUUUUUUUGGGAGAAACAAGUUUAGUUUCUAGGAAGUUGUUCUCAAAAAAAGAUUCUAGGAAGUUACUAUUAUUAGUGUUUAAUGCAUCAUUUUCUUUUUUUGAAAAAUUAUUUUUGACUACAAAACAAAGAAUCCCCCAGUUAUGUGUAAAUUCUUUUGGUUUCUUCUCCAAUUUUUAUUAUAUGCAUGCUUUCUGAAUGGAGAUUGACUUCUUCAUUGUUAUAACUUGGAUAGAUGGAUCGGAUACUUGCUGCAUAUCGCAAGUCCUCAAAGCAGUGGUCAUCUACACUGAACAAGCUUGCUCAAGGUGUUGCCUCUCCUCCCAUUUGUUUGUUUUCUGGCUAAUUAGGAAUUAGGAAUAAGUACUAUAUUCUGUGUUAUUCUUAUUGCAUUUGAUAGUUGUGACCUUCUUCUGCUAUUUUUUGCAGUGCGACAAAGAGGACGAAAGCGGACCAUGGUUGGAUGA
rnacentral:sRNA from 1 species